AAUUAGAUGAGAAUUUUAGAUGAUUUAAGACAAUAUUUUUAAACAUGUUACAUCAAUCUUCUGAGUUGUUUAAAAGCAAGACAUUGUCACUCUCUACUGCUGAAUAUGAUGCAUAUAAUUUAUGAUACGUUCAGUGAAUAAGGAGGAGAAUACACAGAGGUUUUUAAAUAAAAUAAAUCUUAUUUAAAUUAAAAUCUAUAUGUUGGGUUGAGUUUAGGAGCAACUGAAUAAGUAGUAGAACGUAAUUUGGAGAGCAUAAUGGCAAAUUCAGGAAUUAUUUCAGUUGCUAGGUACUAUAUAAAAGGUGCCGAGAACAGAGACAUUGAAGAACUGUGUAAAGGCCAGUUACUUUAACCAUUUAGUUUUUAGUAUGUAAAGUAAGUAGAUUGCACAAAGAAUAUUUAUAAAUUACUUUUCAAGUUUAAGCAUUUUAUUCAAUCUGUGGGAAAAUUAUAAACUCUUGUCAUGCACUAAAGCAAAGAAUAUUAAAAAGAACAAGCAUAUUAAAAACUGUAAAAGCCUACAUUAUUUUUUAAGGAAGGAUCGCAUCUUGUUUACUCUUUGUUUUUUGUGGAAGCUAUUAUAAAAGAAAAUGAAUGAGUUAACAAAUUGGCAGAUAUUAUAUAUAUAAAAAUUAAUGAGCUAUUUAGCAAUUAAUUUAAAGGAAAAGCUUAUUAAUAACUUCAGUGGAUUACUUAUAGUUUUAGAAUUUGAAGGUUGACAAAUUGCAUCUCUAAUUCAAGUAAGAAAUAAAAUUUAUAAUGGGAAGUUAUGUCUUUGAAGAGUCAGUAUCUUACUGUUGUGUGCCCAUAAAAAGGUUCAGUUAACAGAGACAAGAGAAAUACUCCUUUGAUUUUUCCCAUUAUAUGAGCAAUGCAUGCUCAUUAUCACUUGUUAAAACUACAUGGUACAUAAAGAAAAAAAAGUUAGAUUUAUAGAUUAAUAGUAACAUGGAAUAAAUCCCUAACAUUCUCUCUUCCGUAUCCUUCUCUGAAAUUAUAAAAUGGAGAUGAAGAAGUUUCAACAUCGGGACCAUAAUUCAAUUCUCUCCUAACUACUGAUUACAAUUGUGGUGGAGAAAAAGGUGUUCCUGGAGAAAGAAAGAAGACCAGAUAUUAGAGUGGGAAAGAAAAGAACAUUGAAUUAAAACAAACGGUAACUAAAAUGGCAGAAAAAAAGCUUCAGGUAUCGUAAAAGCAGUUGAGUUCUUGAUUUGAUUCUCCACUUGAUCGCUGUUGGUGUACAGAAGAUCUACUAAUUUGCAUACAUUAAUUUUGUAUCUGGAAAAUUUGCUGAAUUCUUCUAUCAGUUCUAGGAGCGUUCUGGAGGAGUCUUUGGAUUUUGAGGUCUGGAGGCUAGAAGUCUGAAACGAAGGUGUCAUCAUGGCCCUCUGCACCCUGUAAAGAAGAAUCUCCUUUUUUCUGCUGCUUCUAGCUUCUGGUAUUUGCUGGCAAUCCUUGAUGUCAGCUUGUAUAUGCAUUAGUCUAAUCUCUGCCUCCACCCUCAUAUGGCUAUCUUCUCCCUAUGUGUCUGCACAUCAUCUUCCCUCUGUGAGUCUGUGUCCAAAUACCUGUCUUCUCUAAUUGUAUUAGAUAAGAAGACCACCCUCUUCCAAUAUGACUUCAUCUUAACUAAUUACAUCAUUGCAGAUAUCUUUUUAGUUAACAGAAUUCAACCUUUAGCAAAGAUUAAAGGAGAGCAAAUGAUAUCAUGUCUUAAAAUUCAAAGUCCUAAACAAAGCUUUUAGAAUAUUUACACUUAAUCAUUUUGGGUUUAUCUUGAACACUGUGAAACCUGAUGGAGUUUGAAUCAAUCCAGAAAUUAGGAAGCACAAAUACCAAGUCUUUUUAUUAUAAACACCUCUCAAAUAUGAAUACUUUGGGAAAGGCAUAUAUUAUCCAUUAUUUUCACAUUCAUAAUGGGUUUGAUGAUUUUUAGCAAAUACUAAAUAUGGUAUAAAAGAUAUACUCUUGAAAAUACCACAAACUCCUGCAGUGCAAUUCAGAAACUACCACUUGGUGGCAAGAUAAUGCUGCUGUUAAUGGGCUUAGCAAUGACCUACAUACUUUUUCCUUUGAAUUCUAAAUCCUUGAUAAAUUUGAAAUAGAUUUGCAAAGGGAGACAGGCUAAAUUACUGACAUUUUUUAAAAAGAAAAUAAUUUACAUAAUAAAAAUGACUCUGGUAAAACACACAUGUAAAAUUCAGUUCAAACAAUGAGUUAAUUCUUUGACUAUUAUUAGUAAAAUACUCAAAUAAAAAUGGAAAUGAAUAAGAAAAUAAUUAUUCCAUAGAUAUAUUUUAUAUCUGUAUAUUUUCUUACAAAUCCUAGCCCAAGGUGAGGUGUCAUAAUUUUUUUUUGGCUCUGGCUCAUUUGAUUGAGCAUGACUACCCAGUGCAAUAUUUACAUUUGUCUCCCGGUAGCACUUUAGAAUAAUAUGUCCCUAUUUUAUUGAACUACUACUACCUUUUAGAAGAAUUAUGAAGCUUCUGGCAGGGAAAAAUGGAUUCCUUACUUGGCACUGUGGUCAGACAAUGUUAUGCUUAGUAAAUAUACAGUGUUUUCUAUGAAAAAGAGUAUGAAGAUUUCUCAAAUAACUAAAAGUAGAACUACGAUUUAACCCGACAAUCCCACUACUGGGUAUCUACUCAAUAAAAAAGAAAUUAUUUUGCCAGAAAAGACACCUGAACUUUUAUGUGUAUCACACAUUAUUCACAAUAGCAAAGUCAUAGAAUAAAC
rnacentral:lncRNA from 1 species